CUCCUUGAGAGGGGUAGCAAGGGAGGUAAAAAUAUUUUGAAAACAAUAAUAUUUUCCUGGCACCUUAUUGUUGCUUAUUAUCCCCCUCAGAUCUCUCUGCAGACUCCUGCAAAGCCCAGCACAACCCAUAUAUCAUUGAGCACAGCACUGUAGGGAUGGCCAACAUGAGCAGCAGUCCACAGCACAGAGAAAGGGAGGCAGUCCCAGAGAGAGCAAGUAUGUGGAGUGGCAAGGAGAGUCCUUGCUUGACUCAAAAACAGCUGCAAAAUACUUCAGCCCUGCAGCACUUGGCUGCAGUUGAGGACAGCCUUCAGGAAUGUCUCACCAGGAGACCAGAGAGAAAGUCUGGAGAAAGGAAGUCCUUCCCUCGGUUGAGGAGGACUGGAUUAAGUAUACAUUAGACAAACUUGAUACCCACAAGUCCAUGGGCCCUGACAGGAUGCACCCACAAGAGCUGUGAGAGCUGGCAGAUGUCUUUGCUAGACUACUCUCUAUAAUCUUUGAAAGGUCAUGACAAUCAGGAAAUGUGCCAGAGGACUAGAAGAAAGCAAAUGUCACCCCAAGUCUUUAAAAAGGGCAAGAAGGAGGACCCUGGGAGCUACAGGCCAGCCAGCCUCACCUCAAUCCCUAGAGACGUGAUAGAACAGCUCAUCUGGAGGCCAUCUCUAAGCACAUGGAAGACAAGAAGGUAGGACUAGUCAGCAUGGAUUCACAUUUUAUUAUCAAAAUACAUGAGAUUCACAGAGUCAGUUCAUAAUCAGGAUUAGAGAUUAAAUGGGGACAGUCUGAUAAGGAUAGACUGUUUUCACCUAAGGCAGUUCUGUGAAGGAAACCUCUUUGUUUCAACCUUGAACAUUAUGCACCCAGUCCUAGACAAGUUUUCUGUCAAAUAGGUUUUCUGAAUGCAGAAAUCCAGACCUACAAAUAUCUGUUAUAUGGAAAUGCACACAUGUUUUGUACUGUACACAAUACUAGUUCCUUUUGUCUGUGAACAGACUACAGGAUCAUCUUUUUCGUCUGUUUUCUGCAACAAAAUAGUUUAAAGCCCAUGACUGCAGAAAUGUCAGAUGCCUGUGUAAGACAUCAUUAAUAUGUUGUAAUAAUUUCUGAAUAAGCAAGUCUAGUACAGAUAAAAUAAAAGGAAUCCACAAGAAGACUGAUAAGUGGUUUUAUAAGAACUAAAAAAAGAUGGUAUGCCAUUAUUCUGUGGUAAUCCUUACUACAGAUGAACCAGCAUAUUUGCGUUUUUGUGUGGAAUUACUUGCUGUACUGGUGACACAGUUUCAUGCAAAUACUUCAAUAAACUUUCAGCUUGAUUUA